GGGCCGGUAGCUCAGCUUGGUUAGAGCACUCGACUCUUAAUCGAGGGGUCGCGGGUUCAACUCCCGCCCGGCUCA
rnacentral:tRNA from 1 species